rnacentral:lncRNA from 1 species
GUCGGACCACGCCUGGUGCAUGUUUAACUGGUCGUUAUCCAGCGACUCCGCCGUGUCUGCAAACGUCACCACAAGAUAUAUUAUCACCUCAUGUAGGUUUAAAAUACGUUAUAUUAAUCAUGAAACUACUAGGUCCAACCGACCAAGAAGAUAUUUUUGAAAGGACGAUGUAAUCGAGAGGGUGAAACGGAUCAGAUAACGCAUCGACAUAAGAUGUUUGCCCACUUGCGGUGCCGUUGGAACCCUUCGUGUUCGGUCUCCGCUGGUUGCUGGUCCUCCGGCAGUAC